rnacentral:rRNA from 1 species
GGGUUGUGAGGUUAAGCGACUAAGCGUACACGGUGGAUGCCCUGGCAGUCAGAGGCGAUGAAGGGCGUGCUAAUCUGCGAUAAGCGCCGGUAAGGUGAUAUGAACCGUUAUAACCGGCGAUACCCGAAUGGGGAAACCCAGUGUGACUCGUCACACUAUCAUUAACUGAAUCCAUAGGUUAAUGAGGCGAACCGGGGGAACUGAAACAUCUAAGUACCCCGAGGAAAAGAAAUCAACCGAGAUUCCCCCAGUAGCGGCGAGCGAACGGGGAGGAGCCCAGAGCCUGAAUCAGCAUGUGUGUUAGUGGAAGCGUCUGGAAAGGCGCGCGAUACAGGGUGACAGCCCCGUACACAAAAGCGCAUGUGCUGUGAGCUCGAUGAGUAGGGCGGGACACGUGGUAUCCUGUCUGAAUAUGGGGGGACCAUCCUCCAAGGCUAAAUACUCCUGACUGACCGAUAGUGAACCAGUACCGUGAGGGAAAGGCGAAAAGAACCCCGGCGAGGGGAGUGAAAAAGAACCUGAAACCGUGUACGUACAAGCAGUGGGAGCACAGGUUUACCUGUGUGACUGCGUACCUUUUGUAUAAUGGGUCAGCGACUUAUAUUCUGUAGCAAGGUUAACCGUAUAGGGGAGCCGUAGGGAAACCGAGUCUUAACCGGGCGUUAAGUUGCAGGGUAUAGACCCGAAACCCGGUGAUCUAGCCAUGGGCAGGUUGAAGGUUGGGUAACACUAACUGGAGGACCGAACCGACUAAUGUUGAAAAAUUAGCGGAUGACCUGUGGCUGGGGGUGAAAGGCCAAUCAAACCGGGAGAUAGCUGGUUCUCCCCGAAAGCUAUUUAGGUAGCGCCUCGUGAAUUCAUCUCCGGGGGUAGAGCACUGUUUCGGCUAGGGGGCCAUCCCGGCUUACCAACCCGAUGCAAACUGCGAAUACCGGAGAAUGUUAUCACGGGAGACACACGGCGGGUGCUAACGUCCGUCGUGAAGAGGGAAACAACCCAGACCGCCAGCUAAGGUCCCAAAGUCAUGGUUAAGUGGGAAACGAUGUGGGAAGGCCCAGACAGCCAGGAUGUUGGCUUAGAAGCAGCCAUCAUUUAAAGAAAGCGUAAUAGCUCACUGGUCGAGUCGGCCUGCGCGGAAGAUGUAACGGGGCUAAACCAUGCACCGAAGCUGCGGCAGCGAACGUAUCACUUAAAGCGAUUCAGCGGGUUACGAUUGACGGAGCGAAGCGACGUCAAAGCGUAUACAAAGUCGAGUCGGUUUAAGGAUACGUUCGUUGGGUAGGGGAGCGUUCUGUAAGCCUGUGAAGGUGUCCUGUGAGGGAUGCUGGAGGUAUCAGAAGUGCGAAUGCUGACAUAAGUAACGAUAAAGCGGGUGAAAAGCCCGCUCGCCGGAAGACC